CCUACGGGAGGCAGCAGUGGGGAAUAUUGCACAAUGGGGGAAACCCUGAUGCAGCGACGCCGCGUGAGUGAAGAAGUAUUUCGGUACGUAAAGCUCUAUCAGCAGGGAAGAAAAUGACGGUACCUGACUAAGAAGCCCCGGCUAACUACGUGCCAGCAGCCGCGGUAAUACGUAGGGGGCAAGCGUUAUCCGGAUUUACUGGGUGUAAAGGGAGCGUAGACGGCAGCGCAAGUCUGGAGUGAAAUCCCAUGGCUUAACCAUGGAACUGCUGUGGAAACUGUGCAGCUAGAGUGCAGGAGAGGUAAGCGGAAUUCCUAGUGUAGCGGUGAAAUGCGUAGAUAUUAGGAGGAACACCAGUGGCGAAGGCGGCUUACUGGACUGUAACUGACGUUGAGGCUCGAAAGCGUGGGCAGCAAACAGGAUUAGAUACCCUUGUAGUC
rnacentral:rRNA from 1 species